GUUACAGACUUUUCAUUAAGACCCUAAAGAAUCAUAUCAACUUGUGGAAAAUGGUCAUCCUAUGACCCCUUUAAUGGAAAUCUCAUGUCUGUAUUACAGAUGCAGCACAAAGGCAAAACAAUUAAUGAAACCACAAGUGAAGAAAUGCCAGUUUCCCCUCCAUCAAAAGGAAAACCCCUUUUAAAGAUAAAAAUGGCUCCCAUGGAGUGGAAACCAAGAACUGCUAAAACAACAGGAAGAUAUAAAAAAAAUCCAUUCCUUGAAGAGGCCCCACCACGGAUAAUUGUCACAGGCACUGAGGGGUAUGAUGAGCUCCUAAAACUCGACCUGGAGACAUUUUGGUCAGACAAGAGAGAGGGGAGUGUGUUUACUCUCUGCCAAGCAAAUGGGACGAGGUGGACGAAGGAACAGUUCCAUCAGGAAUUUGGAUCCGUGGCAGAGAUCCCAAACGUCUGGAAGCGAACAUAUUACAUUGGACGUAGAAAAAUGGGUAUUGUAAUGUUGAAAUUACAUGGCAUGUGUGUGUUAUAAACUUGCUCUUGUGCUAAUACAGUACCAAUUGCAUGUUGUAUCUACAGAUGUCAUUUGCCUUGAUGAAAGCAGCUCAAUAUCAGGUAUGUACCAUAAGUUUUGAUGACACAUUUUAAGUGCCGUGUAUGUUUUGUAAUACAUAACAGUUGCUCAUUAAUUAUAUUGUUUAGUAUGUGUUCCAUUUAUUUAUGUAUCACUCCCUUCUUUUCUCAGGAAUUGGUGAAAGUGAAGUGGACUCGUCUAUGGCAACUUCAGUUUACUAAUUUAUAUUUUUAAAUAAAGGCUUACUAAAAUAUUACUGUUGAAUAUUUGGAUGUUUAGAUAACACUGAUGAUCUUGAUGGUUGUUUGUAGGAUUUCCAACCAAAGAGAUCCAGAAUUUUAGGAAGAUGUACAGACCAAAGUGUAGUGAGGGUCUUAGGUUCAGGCCAGCAUGCUGUGGGAGAUCAGAAAGCGCUGAACAAGUUCCAGGUUCAGAAAGAUCACUUUACAUAUAUACAUUCAUUCAUUCAGACAGGCAGACCAACAUUACAUGCUGAUCCAAAUUCAGACUCACCAGUUGCAGUGAGAUCCACUAGUGCUGAUAAAUCCUUAAAGGGUUAGUUCACCCCAAAUUAAAAUUUGAUAUGAAUUACAGAUUACAGUAACCAUGGAUGUCCAGCUCCAAAAAAGAGCACUCUCAAAAGCCAUGUGAUAGGUUUUAAUGUGGAAGAGAAACUAGAUCAAGAAGAAUCUUGGUCAAUUGUUAUUUUCAAUUUUGAAUAUUCAGAAAGGUACUUAUUUCAUUACAACACAAAGAUAAUCAACAACAUGC
rnacentral:lncRNA from 1 species